rnacentral:lncRNA from 1 species
CCCUCGCCUACACUCUCGAUUGCUGGCUCGCUCGCCCCCUCGCCUACUUCUCAGGUUUGAUUCUUUCUUUUUCUUUUUUUUUUUAAUUUCUUGCAUAUAUUAGUUUUAAUCAAUUUUAUUUUUUUGUAGCUUGCAUCGAAAGAAAAGGAUGGUGCUACAUAUACUACAAAAGGCCAAGAAGAGACAGAUAGCUCAAGUGACUCUGUAUGAAGAUAAACUUGUAACAUGCGUAAAGAAUGGCUGAACUAGGCUUUUUGUUUGUAGUAUGUAUUUUGCUAGUAAUAACUCUGAAAUGAUACUUAUUAUCCGGAUAGUUUAACUUGUAGAAUGUUCAAGUAAUUUGGAUGAUUUAACUAAUUUGGUGAGUUGCUCUGUAUGGUUAAAUUUGAUAUAUCAUUU